AUAAAUAAAAUCCUUUCUUCCCCACCCACCAAUGUCGUGACAUCUCCACCUUCACAGUCGGUCUCAAUCACCAUUCGAUUUGAUGUCGGAUCUUACUUCCCAAGGAUCACCAUCGUCGCUGCCACAAACUCCGCUGGAAUGGCGGCGGUAACGUUUUCAAACCGCCGUCUUACGCUCUUCGAAACGUGUAUGUGCGGAUGAACGACGAAUGGGUGGGCGUCCCGAUGGUUUGCACAGACGGAGAGAUAGUUUGGACCCUUUCGGCUUUCCGGCGAGGUGUUAUAGGAGGCUCACAAGUGUCCCAACAUGCAUGCUCAUCCAUUGGUGAGUUUUGGAGGUGCUGAAAGCUGUCAAGCACUCAAAAAUCGGACCCAAAACACAUUAGUUCGCGAAUUCUGCAUCUGGGCGCUGGGUCGCGGCCCGCGUAAGGCCUCAGGCGGGCGCCUGGGGUCUGCAGCUCCAAACUUUGAUCAAUUGUUGCAGUUUUGGUCCAU
rnacentral:lncRNA from 1 species